AUCCAGCUGGUGAAUCCCAAAUAGAACGAAACAUGCGUUCUGGAU
rnacentral:hammerhead_ribozyme from 1 species